rnacentral:rRNA from 1 species
AUUGAACGCUGGCGGCAUGCUUUACACAUGCAAGUCGAACGGUAACAGGCCGCAAGGUGCUGACGAGUGGCGAACGGGUGAGUAAUGCAUCGGAACGUGCCCAGUCGUGGGGGAUAACGCAGCGAAAGCUGCGCUAAUACCGCAUACGAUCUCUGGAUGAAAGCGGGGGACCGAAAGGCCUCGCGCGAUUGGAGCGGCCGAUGUCAGAUUAGGUAGUUGGUGGGGUAAAGGCCCACCAAGCCAACGAUCUGUAGCUGGUCUGAGAGGCCGACCAGACACACGGGGACUGAGACCCGGCCCAGACUCCUACGGGAGGCAGCAGUGGGGAAUUUUGGACAAUGGGCGCAAGCCUGAUCCAGCAAUGCCGCGUGCAGGAAGAAGGCCUUCGGGUUGUAAACUGCUUUUGUACGGAACGAAACGGUCCGGGCUAAUACCCUGGGCUAAUGACGGUACCGUAAGAAUAAGCACCGGCUAACUACGUGCCAGCCGCCGCGGUAAGAC